rnacentral:rRNA from 1 species
GUGCCAGCAGCCGCGGUAACACGUAAGUUGCGAGCGUUGUUCGGAAUUAUUGGGCGUAAAGGGCAUGUAGGCGGAUUUGCAAGCUUGAUGUGAAAUCCCGCAGCUUAACUGCGGAACUGCAUUGGGAACUGCAAGACUAGAGUUACUGAGGGGAAACUAGAAUUCCAAGUGUAGGGGUGAAAUCUGUAGAUAUUUGGAAGAAUACCAAUGGCGAAGGCAAGUUUCUGGCAGAUAACUGACGCUGAGGUGCGAAGGUGCGGGGAGCAAACAGGAUUAGAUACCCUGGUAGUCCGCACAGUAAACGAUGUACACUAGGUGUUUGACCAUGAGGUUGAGUGCCAUAGCUAACGCAAUAAGUGUACCGCCUGGGAAGUAUGCCCGCAAGGGUGAAACUCAAAGGAAUUGACGG